AGAGUUUGAUCAUGGCUCAGGAUGAACGCUGGCGGCGUGCUUAAUACAUGCAAGUCGAGCGGUAAGGCCUCUUCGGAGGUACACGAGCGGCGGACGGCUGAGUAACGCGUAGGAACCUACCCCGAACUGAGGGAUAAGCACCAGAAAUGGUGUCUAAUACCGCAUAUGCUCUUAGGAGUAAAGCUACGGCGGUUUGGGAA
rnacentral:rRNA from 1 species